GUUACGAUAGUACAAUAGUAUCAGCCGAAGCAAGGCUGGUUGUUGUUGUAACAUCUCUUGGGAUUGACUGAUUGAUUGGUUGACGUAAUCGUGGUAAUCGAUGUAUUGUUAUAUGUAGAUGUCUUGCAAGGUGUUUUUUACAAAUUACAUUAGAAAGGUGCAUUCCAUGAAGUGUUACUUUUCAAAAUAGUUCAACAGAGAAGUGUAUUGUGAUGUUAAUAAUGAAGAUUUAAUGAAAUGUCAAUUAUACAAUAUAAAGUGGUUAUAAAGUGCAGUUAUGUGGAUGUUUUUGAUGUACGAAUCAAGUGUAUUGCGUAAAUGUACAUAUGUACAUAUGUAUGUAGAGUAUCACAGAAGGAGAUGAAGUAAAUUGAAGCGAAAAAGACUGCUGUACUUUUGAGAUUUCCUUAUACUCGUUGUUCAAGUCCUAACGGAUCUAAUUACUUUAUCGAAGCUGAGAGCUUGAUCAAUUCCAAAUUAAAAUGUAACAAAAGUUUUGAAAAAUUGAACAUUACAGAAUGUGAUUUUUGCAACGAGCUUUCGGAAAACGAGCCACUAUGCGACGCCUAUUCGAAUAAAAUAUAUACAACGACGUUACACAAAAAAUUGAGUGGUCAACGUUUCUUCGACGCCAAAAGACGCUAAUGAGGACUUAUUUUAGAGAUACUUCCGCAACAAUGCUGCGAAAAACUCUUCAAUAAUUUGCAUUGGGCCUUGUUAAAAAAAACGAAUUAAUUCGAUCCAAACUAAAAUAUGGAGCAUACAUAGUGACUCGUUAUUUUUUAACUUCACCUUAAAAAACGAAAAAAGGUUUUUUCUACAAAAUAAUUAUCUGGUCUAAAUAUUUUUCCAAACUGUAUGUAUUCAUUUGCUUUUUAGAAAUUGUCUACAUUUGUAUAAAUUGAUU